rnacentral:rRNA from 1 species
UGGGGAAUAUUGCACAAUGGGCGCAAGCCUGAUGCAGCCAUGCCGCGUGUAUGAAGAAGGCCUUCGGGUUGUAAAGUACUUUCAGUCGGGAGGAAGGUGUCAAGGUUAAUAACCUUGGCAAUUGACGUUACCGACAGAAGAAGCACCGGCUAACUCCGUGCCAGCAGCCGCGGUAAUACGGAGGGUGCAAGCGUUAAUCGGAAUUACUGGGCGUAAAGCGCACGCAGGCGGUUGAUUGAGUCAGAUGUGAAAUCCCCGGGCUUAACCCGGGAAGUGCAUCUGAUACUGGUCAGCUAGAGUCUUGUAGAGGGGGGUAGAAUUCCAUGUGUAGCGGUGAAAUGCGUAGAGAUGUGGAAGAAUACCGGUGGCGAAGGCGGCCCCCUGGACAAAGACUGACGCUCAGGUGCGAAAGCGUGGGGAGCAAACAGG